GACGAACGCUGGCGGCGUGCUUAACACAUGCAAGUCGAACGGAAAGGCCCUGCUUGCAGGGUGCUCGAGUGGCGAACGGGUGAGUAACACGUGGGUGAUCUGCCCCUUACUUUGGGAUAAGCCUGGGAAACUGGGUCUAAUACUGGAUAGGACCAUGCUGUAGGUGGUGUGGUGGAUAGAUUAGUUUCGGUAGGGGAUGAGCUCGCGGCCUAUCAGCUUGUUGUUGGGGUAAUGGCCUACCAAGGCGUCGACGGGUAGCCGGCCUGAGAGGGGGGACGGCAACAUUGGGACUGAGAUACGGCCCAGACGCCUACGGGAGGCAGCAGUGGGGAAUAUUGCACAAUAGGCGCAAGCCUGAUGCAGCGACGCCGCGUGGGGGAUGACGGCCUUCGGGUUGUAAACUCCUUUCAGCCAUGACGAAGCCCUUGUGGUGACGGUAGUGGUAGAAGAAGCACCGGCUAACUACGUG
rnacentral:rRNA from 1 species